GGGGAGAGCCACUCCGUGGAGGUUCCACAACCAGGCUGGAUGGCUGGGUGCAGGGGGAGCAGACUCGCAGAAGAAUCAACGCAGAGCGUGAAUGAAGGAAAUGGUCUGGGGAGGUGAGUGGGGGCUGUUGUUCCAAGACUAAGAGGAAAUGCCAGAGAGACGUCUGAGAUGAGGAACGUCACCACGCACGGCAAGAAGAAUUAAAUCUGGGCAGAAGAGGAACAAUUUCUCUUUCUUAGAGAAGGAGUUGAGAUGGAAAAACAGGAUCCUGCCAGGAAACAGAAUUCACAGAGGGUUCAGACAGAGAUACGUUAAAGCGAGAGCUACUUAUGGAAAUAAAGGCGGGGUAAGGACAUGUAAGGAGACAGCGAAGCGUGAAGGGGCUUAGCACCUGUGGGAAGCCGUCACCAUCCCAAGGGCCACAAAGAGGAAACAGUGUUUAUCAGAGGUAGGUAAGUAAGGCCGGAACUACUGGGACCAUGGAAAAGGGGACACCCUAGUGGGGUCACCAGUCAUGAAGGCACGUGGUCCCUGCCAGAGACUGGACGUCUACGCAGGACGGAAAGAGAAAACGCAGUUCCUGAUCUUCCGUUCCACCCCGAGUCCCUUUUGGAUGCCUGCCAUUGGCUGAACGCAACAGAUUCCAAUCCACAAAGGGAAUGCUGGUACCUUCUGCAAAGGUCCAAGUCCCAGGGCACAGAGCAGGACACAGAGGAGAACAGAAGGGAGCUGGAUCAGAAUGACACUACAGAUAGUUUCUAGAAAAUAGUAAAAGCUUAACAGCAUUACCUAAAAUUAUUGUAACAUCAAGCAGGUUAUAUUAAUAAAUAUGAUG